AUGGAUAGCUCAACAUCAUCCGAAUAUUUGCAAGAAAAAUUGUACGAUUGUUUGCAAAUCGUGCGUCAAUAUGAUUGGCUUAUAAAUGCAUACAUUUUGGAUUUCUAUGUAGACAACCAUUGGGAAAAGCUGCCGCGCAGUUGGCAGAAACAUUUGGAGCAUGUGAAACCCGAAGAACUUAGUACGCUAUUGAAUUUCAAUGAAAUAGCUGAACAGCAGCAUGCCAAUGUAUGGCCAUUGGCGUUAUUAGCCUUACGCUGCAAAUUACGAGAGGUGUGCGUGGACAGAAGUCAGCAAAGCAAUGCUGCCACAGUGAGCGCUUGCCGCAGUCCACUACUUAGUCAUACCAAGCUGAAACAUGUAUUUAAUAAGUGUGUUAAGCCCAAGAAGCGCCAUGAAAUAGAGUUGAUGGCAUCGCAUUGCGAAUAUAGUUAUCAGCAAACACCCGUUGACUACAUUAUAGACUUCGGCGCUGGUUUAGGGCAUCUCGCACGCAUACUCGGUUAUGGCUUCAGUAGGCGUGUAUGUUGCUUAGAGAUGCGGCCAGAACUAAAUGUACAAGCUCGUUGCAUAGACAAACAAUUUGAGCUGUUCGCUGAAAAGCACUUGCCUGCUGUAAAACGCGCAACUUUUCGGCGUCCGGAGCAUGUCACGUUAUGCCUGACGGCUGAGAUACAACCACAACAGUUUCUCAAUCUAAUUGCUGAGGCGGUGCAGAGGGAAGACACCAACUUUACUUUUGGCAUAAUCGGUCUCCAUCCAUGUGGCGAUUUAGCGGUAAUUUUGAUGCGUAUGUUCAUAAAUAGUCCCCAGGCGCGGUUUCUGAAUUUCGCCAGCUGUUGUUAUAUGAAAUUGAGUACCACGGAGAUGCAUUCUAAGGUGGAGCUGCAGGGAUACCCCCUCAGCCGAUACUUGUUACAGCAACCCAAACUGGCACACUUGAGCUAUGAGGCACGCGAAAUAUCCUGUCAUGCUAUGGAAAUGUAUUGCGAUCGGCUAGCUAAAGGCGAUUAUGAGCAUUUGAAAGUGCACUCAUUUCGUGCGGCUGCUGAGCAUAUAAUCGUCAAGCAUUGGUUGCAUUUGAAACAUAGUGGACUACGUAGCGUCAAGCAUGUGCCUGGUAUGGAAUUCGAAGAUUAUUACUACAAAGCAGUACAAGGCUUAGAAGCUGUUCAUUUAGAGCGUACUGCGCUGCAAACUGCCACAACACAAAAUGAUUUACGUCAUUGGCGACGUAUCGUUAUUUUUUAUACGCUUCGUUUGAUGUUUGCACCGCUUAUAGAGAGCAUUAUACUGUAUGAUCGCGCUUUAUAUCUGCAAGAGAAUCUUUGCCAAGUGAAGAUUGAUGCAGUAUUUGAUCCGCGUAUAUCGCCACGGAAUCAUAUAACAUGUGCUUUUAAGCCUAGUUGAUAAUGAUUUAAGCAAUACGAUAUACAUAUUUGUGUAUGCUUAAAAUAGUGUUCAUGAAAAUUGAUUUAAAGUUUCAGAUAGCUGCAUAAUACAAUUUCUUUUGCACAUAAAUUUUGUGUACAUCACUGCCAUCGUAAGUUGCAUAUAGAAAGUAUUUGGCUUUCUUGAGCCUCAUUUUGCGUAUAAAAGAGGUCUAACCUGAAAAUUAAAGAAGUACUAUUAUUACUGCCACAUAUUAAUACAUAUCUACAUCUGUAAAGCUUACAUGCCACAAGAAAUCUAAUUCAGAACCACCAUUUGCACGCCUAUAUAAUUUACGUUAGAUUAAUCAUAGCUUUGUGGUGAUUAAUAAGACAGACAACACUAAUCAGAAUAAAAAUAACGAGAAAUGUAGGAAAAUAAGUGUCGUACUACCUACAAAUACUUACCUCACAUACGUUAGUGCAGACAAUAAAGACGAGAGAUUAGUUCGUUGCUUUGCUUAACGCAAGUAAAUGGCAAUUACAAUAAGAGCAACUGUCACACAACAACAAUAGCAGUAAUGAAAAAAUAUGAAAAAAAAAAUAAAACAACAUUCCGCAUCUAAGUUGCAUGACCAUUUAUCUAAAGCUGUAUAUGUUUAAGCGCCUCAGUGCACGAUACUGGACGCAAUACACGGCAUAUGUAACUACAGAGACUUGCAAACAUGUACACGCAUAUACUCUAAAGAAUAUUAACUUACAAAUGUACAUAUGUAUAGCACUCAGUCACAAGAAUUCUUCCCAAGCGCUCGGGAAUGUGUAUUUAGAUUGCAAUCUGGUACUUCCACUUCAUUAGUACGACUUAACGAGUGAGCAAUGACCAGUAAACCCCUAACGCAACUGUCCACCCCGCUGCCAUUCAAUACAAAAUUGUAAUAACAAGUGUCUCACACCUCGUUAAGAAGCCAGCGAAGCAAUUGUGUGCACAACCCUCACUCGCCCCAUUGGACAGCUUGUUGUUCUCAUGACGGACACUAAUCUUCCAGACACGUGAGGUGGAAUGAAGGGGGCGGAAAGUUACGCUGUGGAGAACAAUGUGGUGAUAAUGGAACUGAAGGAAAUAAUAAGUGCA
rnacentral:misc_RNA from 1 species